rnacentral:lncRNA from 1 species
CUGCAGCUGGAGGCUUGGCAUUCACCAGAACAGGGAGAUCGAUCUAAGACAAGAUAGCACAGUUGGAGACUUACAAGCACGCAUAUUCUCUGUCUUCACUAAAAAAAUAGCACAGAAGUAGAACAUGUAUUAGCGAGUGAACAGGUAAUAGAAGAAGUGGUAGUAGCAAGCUAGACAUGGCCGGAGUCAUGGCAGGGCUUUAGUACAUGUAAUGAUCUAGUUUACCCUGCAGCUGGAGGCUUGGCAUCCACCAGAACAGGGAGAUCGAUCCAAGACAAGAUAACACAGUUGGAGACUUACAAGCACACAUAUUCUCUGUCUUCACUAAAAA